GAUAAACGCUGGCGGCGUGCCUAACACAUGCAAGUCGAACGCCUUCGCAAGAAGGAGUGGCGGACGGGUGAGUAACACGUGGGUUAUCUGCCCCAAAGUGAGGAAUACCGGCGAGAAAUCGCCGACAAGACCGCAUAGCCUUCGCAAGAAGGAAAGCUCUCUUUCGGGAGGGCGCUUUGGGAGGAGCCUGCGGCAGAUUAGCUAGUUGGUGGGGUUAUGGCCUACCAAGGCGACGAUCUGUAGCUGGUCUGAGAGGACGAUCAGCCACACUGGGAUU
rnacentral:rRNA from 1 species